GAGAAAACAAUAGUGAUUCCCCUAGUAGUGGCGAGCGAACGGGGAAUAGCCCAAACCAUUGAUGUUUCGGCAUUAAUGGGGUUGUAGGACCGCGAUCUAAAAUGCUCAACGAAGAAGAAUGUUCUGGAAAGUUCAACCAAAGAGGGUGAUAGUCCCGUAUUCGUAUGUUAGAGUUAUUUUUAGCGGUAUCCUGAGUAGCGCGGGACAUGUGAAAUCCUGUGUGAAUCUGUCAGAACCAUCUGAUAAGGCUAAAUACUCCUAAAAGAUCGAUAGUGCACUAGUACCGUGAGGGAAAGGUGAAAAGUACCCU
rnacentral:rRNA from 1 species